GAUGAACGCUGGCGGCGUGCUUAACACAUGCAAGUCGAACGGAAAGGCCCAAGCUUGCUUGGGUACUCGAGUGGCGAACGGGUGAGUAACACGUGGGUGAUCUGCCCUGCACUUCGGGAUAAGCCUGGGAAACUGGGUCUAAUACCGGAUAGGACCACAUUUUGGAUGGUGUGGUGGAAAGUUUUUCGGUGUGGGAUGAGCUCGCGGCCUAUCAGCUUUUUGGUGGGGUAAUGGCCUACCAAGGCGUCGACGGGUAGCCGGCCUGAGAGGGUGUACGGCCACAUUGGGACUGAGAGACGGCCCAGACUCCUACGGGAGGCAGCAGUGGGGAAUAUUGCACAAUGGGCGCAAGCCUGAGGCAGCGAGGCCGCGGGGGGGAUGACGGCCUUCGGGUUGUAAACUCCUGUCGCUAGGGACGAAGCGUUUUUGUGACGGUACCUGGAGAAGAAGCACCGGCUAACUACGUG
rnacentral:rRNA from 1 species